GCCUCUUGCACUUAGAGGCAGUGCCUUAGAUCGCUGCGCUACUCAGGAGCCCAACACUUUUGGCAGCAAUUACAACUGUGAGUCUUUCUGGGUACAGGAGGUUCCAGGGCCUGAUUUGUAAAUGAGCGUGCUGUCUGUCUGGUGCUAUCUUACGAGCCUCCUUGUCAUUAGCAUGGAGGAGCAAGGUGGAAGAGUACAAAUGAUCUCUAUCACACCUAACUAGCAGCUACUAGCUGUCUAUCAACACCUGGCUGAGGAGAGGCAGGAAGUAGUGCAGCCUCCUGCAAAGGGUGGGGAGGGAGCAUUCCUUCUCUCUCUCUCUCUCUCGCUCUCACUCUACUGCUGUUGUUGUUAUGCCAGUGUUUAACUUAGAGGUGAAAAAACUCUAUGAAUCAUAAUGGACAAACUACAGCAGCUGUGAUUGUAGCGAUGGAAUGAUGUUGUUGGUUUUGUCCAUGCAAGGAUCGAAUGAGAUGUUCUGACGUGUAUUACAGCUGUAAUGCCACUGUCAAGUGGCAUGAUAUGGGGUUGUUUUCACCUUAUGGUCUAAACAUAUAAAUAUAUAUAUUGGAGUCCGAAUCCCCAUUCUAGUAAAUGGGUUUGUGAUAGGAGGACUGCCAUUCAAUUGAUUAUAUUUCUGUGUUUACACAUUCACUUCCAGCCAGUUUUUACCUUGGAGUUUUGUCACUGUGGCUUCCCAAGUAACCUAGCCCGAGCUAGUAUACUGCAGCUGUGUGGCAGACUAUGUAUAUCUCAAACAGUGUAUUUUGUUCGACCCCAUAAUUCCUCCAUUUCCCCACUCCCACAUCAUCAUAUGGGAGAUUAUGGUUUCUUAAAUGAACCAUAUUGCCGAUGAGUGUUAACUUUAUGUACCUCAGAGUAAAAUAUUACAGACCAUUGACUUCACUGUUGCAGUGUAAAAAAAAAUUGUUUGUGUCCUCAUGUUCCAUGAGUAAGUGUGAGUUAUCUGGGAGGUGGACGAGGUGGGAUUUUUAUAGGCAAUGUUCCCCCUAUACAGUAUCAGCCCACGGAGAGAAGCAUGAGAUUGAAAUUCACUCAAUUUUCCAGAGUUUCCCUGUUAACACUGUCAACAUUUCCCUUUACUGUGGAAAUUGUGAUCGAAUCAACGUAAUAUUAGCCACUUUCAAUACAGCAAAACAAACUAUGCAAGACUUAGUAUGCAAAACAAACUAUGCAAGAGAUUUUGUUGUAGGCCGAAUGUCACGCCCUGACCAUAGAGAGCCCUAUGAUGUAGUAGGCCCGGGCGUGACUUGGGGGUGUUCUAGCUCAAUAUUUCUAUGUUGGUGUUUUGUAUGGUUGCCAAUUAGAGGUGGUUGGUAAUCGUUGCCUCUAAUUGGGGAUCAUAUUUAGGUUGCCAUUUUUCCCACCUGUGUUUGUGGGAUAUUGUUUUGUCUUUAUGCAUGUGCACCGCUACUUUCACGUUUCGGUGUUGGUUUAUUGUUUUGAAGUUUCACCGAAAUAAAGAUGUGGAACUCUA